rnacentral:rRNA from 1 species
UACCAGCACCCCGAGUGGUCGGGACGAUUAUUGGGCCUAAAGCAUCCGUAGCCGGUUCUACAAGUCUUCCGUUAAAUCCAACUGCUUAACAGUUGGGCUGCGGAGGAUACUAUAGAGCUAGGAGGCGGGAGAGGCAAGCGGUACUUAGUGGGUAGGGGUAAAAUCCGUUGAUCCACUGAAGACCACCAGUGGCGAAGGCGGCUUGCCAGAACGCGCUCGACGGUGAGGGAUGAAAGCUGGGGGAGCAAACCGGAUUAGAAACCCGUAGUCC